rnacentral:pre_miRNA from 15 species
UGAAAGACAUGGGUAGUGAGACGUUAGUAUUUGAAGGUCGUAUCACUAUUCUGUUUUUC